CAAAGAGAUCUUCCUGCCUCUGCUUUCCCAAAGACACAUUAGGGAAGUGUGGGACGAGACAGAACAGUCUUCAAUUUCCAUAUGACUCCGUGGUCAGUGUGACUCCCAAGGACAAUCAAAGCAGAACAACAACAGCUUAACCAGAAAUGAACGUCACAGGAAGACCGUGCAGCUGUGACGUCAAAGUCCCAGGGAUCACUAGAAGGACAUUUGAGAGAGUGUUCCGACUAUCUUUGGCCCUUGGACGAUGCGAACCUAUAUUCUCUGCAGAAGAUGAUACAAUCUGAUUUAGAAAAUAAGAUCAUUACUAGUAUCAUUCUGUAAAACAAGUUAAUCUCAUAUUUUUUAUAAGACUGGAGAGCUUAUCAUCAUCAAGGAACUCUGAAUUUGCAUCCCUAAUGCAUCCUUCUCAAAGAUUCUCAGGGAAGUAGCUGAGUCACCACUGAAGAGCAGCAUUUGAUAGUGCUUUUAAUGAAGCAGGCAUGGCAUGAGAUGGGGACAGACAGAUACUAGGAGUAAGAGGGACAGAACUCCUGGACAGGAGACUGGAAGCUUCCAGAGUCAAAAGUGCCCCCCUCCCACCACCAUUCUACAUGGAGCUGCCUACAGAAAGGUAAAACGGAGCUAGGAUUCAUCGCUACUGUUUGCAGAAACUGGAGCCUUUUCCAAGACAGAAAAUUGGUAUAAAUAUAUUUUCUCUCCAGUAUUUUUAGUCCUUGUCUAUUUUUAUUUUGAGCUCAAAACAUGUAGAUAGGCGUAAGAUACGCAGAAAACAGAUUUUAACAAUCAGUGUUCGGUAAGAUUUUCACUGGGAACACUUGGAAGCAGUUUUCUGUGGCAUUUUCUCCUUGUAGGGGACUUCUGCAGAGCAUUAAUUUUGGUUCCUGGAGGCAAGUGCAAGGUGCUAUAUGAGAGUCUCUUAACAAAACACUAGUUUUCUCAUGGCUUGCAGAAUAAAGUUAAAAAACAGAAAUACUCUUAGUGGGAGAGGGGGUCUGCAUGGGCGUGAAAACUUUCGAUAAAAUUCACUAUUGUCCCGGGGUUUCUAAGCUGAUAUUGGCAGCCACUGAAUACACUCUUUCUUUUAAAGGGAAGGAAUGAAAGAGAGAAGGAAGGAAGGAAGGAAGGAAGCAGGCAACUAAACCUUGGUCAUCCUGGCUCACACGCGAACGUGAAACAAGAUGGCUUCACAGAGCAAAUGGCCCUUGUCAACCAACUGCUCUCUGCUUACUGAGUUGGCUCUCUGUACACCCACUCCUGUGUCUUUGCAUAUGAAAAAAAAUGAGGCAGUAAAAGUGUCAGCCUGCUUUUGUCAGGAAUAGCCAGUAAAAAAUAAUUGGAGGCGACUUCAUACACCCCAUGCAGAACAGUCGUGAGAUAAUUGAUCCUUAAUACGUUGCUCCCGAGUCUCCACAUGCCAGGAAGAAUUCUGACGUGUGGAGAAGUUACGAUAUGGCUUAUUCAAUAGAGAAGCUAAACAGAACUCAAGCUUCUUCCCGGCAACCUGCGAUGGCAUCCCACACUCUCUCCAGAGCAUGCGGCAUCCUGUGCAGCAGCUGCCGUCGUGAGCCAGAGGGGGUUUUCUUUUCAGUCUUCUUUCAUACAAUUUCCCUUCCUCCCUCCAAGGAACUGGCACCAUCAUGCCAGACACGCAACCAGAACUGCCGCCGUGUGUGGCUCUAGACACCGGUGAAGAAAGUAUACUCAAUUCCACCGCUCCCUAGAGUUUAUUAUCCCACUUAGAAAGGGCUGUGAUUGACAUGGGGCAGCAGGUAUUUUUAAGUUUUGACGGUUAUUUUCUAGUAAUUGCCAGCCUUAAAAUUGUAGUUUGUCAAUCAGACAGUUCUCUUAAACCCAUGACUGCAUUCUUUUCCAGAGGUAGGGCAAUUAAGGAGAAGUCAGUAAACGGCGAUCCCUCACAGGCCUUUUUUCUUGUCAUAUAAUUGUUGUUAAAAGAUUCACUGCCACGACUGGGGAGGAGGCCAUGGCAUGGCAUUUUGCAUUCAGUAAAAAUGUCUGAAACCUUUUUUUUUUUUUCAAACGGUUUGAGGUUUGGCACAGCCCUGAAGUCCAUCUUGCCAGGCACUCUCCCCCUUAAUUUUUAAACCCAUGUGUCUUUCAAGGGGAAUUUAAUCCGUAUGUUUCUAAUUCAUUUACACUUAACUCAUCAAAAUGGUGCUUUAUAAGAACUAUUUGAUGUGCAGGGAGUCGUAUGGCGCUCUCUCUCCUCUCUCUCUCUCUCUCUCUCUCUCUCUCUCUCUCUCUUUCUCUCUCUCUCUUUCUCUCUCUCUCUGAACUGAAAGGCCUUUCUUUCUACGAACCAGAAGAUGGUAUCAUCCCAGGUGUAAGCCAAAUGACUGGGGUGGUACUCAGGAUCAAUACUGAAUUUAGAGGCAAGAAACUAGCCGACACAAUGACAUGAAUAAGCCUCACAUGCCUGCCUGCCUGCCUGCCUGCCUGCCUGCCCUACCCUCUAGAAAGGUCACUUUGACUCGUUCUUCCCUGAACAGGCCUCAUUCACACGCUAAGAACAAAACGUGAUACUGAAGCAUAGUCAGUGGCAUGAUCCUUUUGGAUUCUAGGGACAAUUGGGGGCAAUUGGGAUUCCUACCUCCAAAUCAGUGGAAAUCAGGCCUGCUACAUCUUGUUCAGUGAAAGCCUCACUGGGGAAGUAAACUAACCGCCAAAUGGCAGAACCGGGAAGGACUGAACAGAAGUUCUGGUCAGGCAUUGUUUGUGUGGAUUGCGUUCCAGGGAACUGAGUGGUAAUAGUAGAGAACCUAUGGACCUGCAGGACCUGUGGACCAAAUGGGGCACUGUUUCCCAGGCUGUAAUCUCACAAAGGUAGACAUAAAGAUCUUUGAGGCUAAACUUAGUUUGAAGACAAACGCCAUCAUUUUGUUCGAGGCUUACAGAUCCAGGCAAGGAAUAUUGGCACUAGGGCAUAGGUAGGGAUUCAGCCCAGGAUGCCUGACCUCACUAAGCAUCACCAGCGAUGGCUCUACUGCAUCAGUGCUUUUCCAAGCCCGAGUGCAAUGCCACAGUGAGCAAAUGGUGUGAAAUUGAUAAAACCAGUACAACCUGGUGUCAGCCAUUGGAGAUAGAAGGAGAUACCCAUGGCAACUUAUGUCCAGUCAGAGUACUAUUCCAUAAAGAGCAGGCAGAGCAUAUGUAUGUAUGUAUGUAUGUAUGUAUGUAUGUAUGAUGUAUCUAUAUAUGUAUGAUAUAUGUAGUACUUUGUAUGUAUGUAUGUGUGAACACAGUCAUCUCAUUAAGGAAUUGUGAGGCAGUCACAGAAUUGGUCGUGGGAGCCACCGAAACGCACAGCUGCUCAAGCCCCUUGAUGAAAUACUCGGGUAGUUACACAUAACCACUCACAUGUGCCCAGUUUGCUCUAAAUCAUCUCUAGCUGACUCACGCUGCCUAAUUUGGUCUAAAUGGUGUGUAAAUAGUCAUGGUGCUGUGUUGUUUAGGGAACAGAAGACAAUGUCUGUACAUGUUCAGUACACACUAAUUUUCCCAAAAUGUUUUCAGGCUGGAGCCGUGGCUAUAACAGCCACUGGUGCCGAGUGCCAACUGUAUACUUGUGCAUCAACACACACACACACACACACACACACACACACACACACACACACACACACACAGAG